CAGAAGGCACAACUCAGGAUGACUUUCAUCAUGGCUUGGUCCUGUCUGCUCUUCACAUUCCUCAUUCAGUGCACAGGGUCCUGGGCCCAGUCUGUGCUGACUCAGCCGCCCUCAGUAUCUGGGACUCCAGGAGCGACAGUCACCAUCUCCUGCAAAGGAAGCAGCAACAAUAUUGGCAGUAAUUAUGUGCACUGGUACCAACAGCUCCAAGAAAAGGCUCCCCAACUCCUCAUCUAUGAUAAUAGUGAUCGACCCUCUGGGGUCCCAGAUCGCUUCUCUGGCUCCAAGUCUGGUAAUUCUGCUUCACUGACCAUCACUGGGCUUCAGCCAGAUGAUGAGGCUAUCUAUCACUGUCAGUCUUAUGAUGACAGCCUCAGUGCUCGCACAGUGCUCCAGGCUUAUGGGGAAGUAAGACAAGAACCCCAUUACCAUAUGUCAUGA